rnacentral:misc_RNA from 1 species
CUGAAGUCCAAGGGGGAGUGCUGGCCUUAGUGCAUGUGCACCUCUCUUCCUUCAUCCACACACACCUGUGCACCCAUUGAGGCGGGUCUUCCCAUGUUUGGAGCAGGCCGGAGUGGGUCUUUUGACCCCGGGCCCGGAGACUCGUCUACACUUUUCACAAACUCUUGAUUUAACUUGGAACGUAGUCGCGGCCUCGCCGCAAAAUCAAUACA